UGCACGUUCUUUAAAAAGAGUUCCAGGCUAAGACUCAUUUUGCUUUGCCACUGACAGCCUGCCACAUGACAUAACACAUGCGUCCAAGAUUUCACUCAAUUGGCAUAUUUUGAUUGCAUCUGUCACACACAGAUCAAUUAAUUCUCUCAGUUGUACUCUAUGUCAGAAGAGCAGCUGCUGCUGUUGAAGGACAGCGAAGACAGAGAUUUAGGAGGACAGAACAGUCUUUAGUGAUAGCUGAGAUCCAGAAUUUAUGAAAAAGUCAAGAACCACAUCUAACUGAAAAGAUCAAUGUCAACAAGCAGGAAUUAAAUCAGUGCCUACCAGAGCUGUAUGGGUCUGCCAUUUGCUCACUCAGCCUCAAACACGUGCAGAUGCUGAGCACACAAAGCAGCAGAACUGCCUCAGUUCUUCAUGAGAUCUUCAUCCCUUGAGCAAGGUACAGUGAAGCCCACAUUGACAUGCGUGAGGAUCAGCUUUUUUUUCAAGCCAUGGAUUUGUGCAUGUUUUCCACCACCAGAAGCCAGCCUAGAUGCCAACAGCUGUGAGAUAGCUCAUUCUCAGGUUUGGGAAGCUAAGGCAAUAAACUGGUGAUAAAAUCUUUUUCCCCUCCUCCUUCACAAAGAGAUUCCUGCAAUUUAAGACAGGUGUUGAUGAUCAAGGUUGAAUCUACCUCAGCUUAGAGCAAUAAAGGAAGAAAGAUUGCGUUCCCUGCUGGAGUCCCAGGCUGUGGGACUGCCAAUGAAAUCGUAGCCACCAAAAGCAUCUGUUGGCACAACAGUUGUGACUUCACUUACACUCCACAUAGAGAUGCUGAAAAGAAGCACAGAGAACCAGUCUUCUUCAGUUGUAAGUUUACAGUCCUUGCUUUGCCAAGGCUGUCAGAACUGAGCUUGUUGGCGUGGACUUCAUUUUAAGGAAAAAUAAUACAGUUUUUCCAUUGUUUAAAAAAGAACAACCAAAAAAACACCAAGAAGUAGAGAUAGAGGACUCACAAAGAUCAUAGAAAGGACAAGCUAUGUCAGGACUGUACAGAAAGAUACGAACAAAGGGAGCAUCUGCAACAUGACAAAGGUUUGUACUGAUUCUAUGAAGUCCAGCUACCGACCUCCAGAAGUGACAUUCACCUGUUUCUUGCUUCAUUGGGAAGACAGACAUUUUGUCCUACAACCAAACGGGUUGUGGUUCCUUGUUUGAAACCAGAACAAUUUCCUGGUGAUGAGAAGUAAACACCCACAACUUAAUUGGAAGGCUUCUGUUUAAACAGACUCUUAACUUGUGUGUUGAUAGCACUGCACCAAGUAAAGCUGCGUUUGAACAGAGUACUGCAGUAUGACUGAUGCAAAGGUCAUAGGAUUACAGUAAUCACAUGGGCCAUCUUUGUGACCUCUGGGGAAAGAUAAUAUGGAAACAAGUACUACUACUGCUGAGAAAGUCUUUUAGCCUGGGAAUGAGGUGUCUUUAGCAGAUCACCAGGAUGCGUUGGCUUGGAAGUACAAUGAUGGCGGAGAUAGCGCUCAGACUAUCCCAGCUGUGUAUUUGGCAUACAUCAGAGAAAGUCUCAAUACAAAACAUCAGGAGCACAGGUACUUUAACAUGCCUUCUGAUGAGUCUCUGCACUUCACUAAGUGCAGAAGUACUCAGGACUAGGGAGCAGAAAUAAAGUCACUGCUCAAAAUAUGCAUCACAAUCAUAA